CUUGGUACUUCAAGCAAUUGGGCAACACCUCUUCCCAUUUCGAACAGAGAAGUUAAACCAAUUAGCGCUGAUGGUAGUUAGGGCUUAAGCUCUAGCGAGAGUAGGCCAGUGCCAAGA
rnacentral:rRNA from 1 species